GAUCCGUGUACAAGACAAAUCUGAGAACACAACCAACAGAUCGAGAACACUACUUGGCCCCCCACUAAUUAACAAUCUACCCCAAAGUUAGAAAAAGCACCCCAAUAACACUUGUCUAGUAGUGUAACUCGAAUAAACAAACCAACAUUCCACAAACACCUACCAAACCUAUGAUGUAUACCAAUAGACUACAAAAGAGCAGGGAACAAGAAACACUACAGAAGCAUCAGUCCACAGUUCCAAGCGUGAUAGCAAGCUAACUUCAAGCACAUAACGCAAAUAGCUCAAGGAGAAUACCGAACCUCUGUACUGAAAAAAGCAGAAAACUAGCAAUGAAAAAUGGAAGUAUCUCCAGCUGGUUGUGCAUUGUAUGUCUCGUUCUCAUUAGCUAAAAGAGAGCUUUGUCAACUAGAAGUAUCUCCAGCUCAGUUCCAAAAAAAAAA
rnacentral:lncRNA from 1 species